rnacentral:rRNA from 1 species
CCUACGGGUGGCAGCAGUAGGGAAUCUUCGGCAAUGGGGGGAACCCUGACCGAGCAACGCCGCGUGAACGAAGAAGUUAUUCGUAAUGUAAAGUUCUUUUAACAGGGAAGAAAGAGAAAUUUGACGGUACCUGAAGAAUAAGCUCCGGCAAACUACGUGCCAGCAGCCGCGGUAAUACGUAGGGAGCAAGAGUUAUCCGGAACUAUUGGGAGAAAAGGGUGCGAAGAUGGCAUAGUAAGUCUUUUGUAAAAAUGCUGGGCUAAACCCAGUAGGGCAAAAGAUACUGCAAAGCUAGAGUAUGACAGAGGCAAGUUGAACUACAGGUGUAGCGGUAAAAUGCGUAAAGA